GACGAACGCUGGCGGCGUGCUUAACACAUGCAAGUCGAACGGAAAGGCCCCUUUGGGGGUACUCGAGUGGCGAACGGGUGAGUAACGCGUGAGUAACCUGCCCUUGACUUCGGGAUAACUUCAGGAAACUGGGGCUAAUACCGGAUAGGAAUCCUUGCUGCAUGGUGGGGGUUGGAAAGCUUCGGCGGUUUUGGAUGGACUCGCGGCUUAUCAGCUUGUUGGUGGGGUAGUGGCUUACCAAGGCUUUGACGGGUAGCCGGCCUGAGGGGGCGACCGGCCACAUUGGGACUGAGAUACGGCCCAGACUCCUACGGGAGGCAGCAGUGGGGAAUAUUGCACAAUGGGCGGAAGCCUGAUGCAGCAACGCCGCGUGCGGGAUGACGGCCUUCGGGUUGUAAACCGCUUUCAGCAGGGGCGAAGCUUGUGGUGACGGUACCUGCAGAAGAAGCACCGGCUAACUACGUG
rnacentral:rRNA from 1 species